rnacentral:rRNA from 1 species
AGGAUCAUUAAUGAAACGAAUGUCGAGAGGGGUUGUAGCUGGCCUUUCGGGGCAUGUGCACGCCUCGAUCGCAUAUCUACCUCUCACACCUGUGCACUACGUGUAGCUUGGGGAUGAUCACGACGUUAGAAAUGAUGUUGAAAGCCCUAGCUAUGAUUUUUUAUAAACCCAUGUAUGUUAUAGAACGAACGAUGUUAUAGUGCGUAACAGCACGAAUAUAUACAACUUUCAGCAACGGAUCUCUUGGCUCUCGCAUCGAUGAAGAAUGCAGCGAAAUGCGAUAAGUAAUGUGAAUUGCAGAAUUCAGUGAAUCAUCGAAUCUUUGAACGCACCUUGCGCUCCUUGGUAUUCCGAGGAGCAUGCCUGUUUGAGUGUCAUGAAAUUCUCAACUGCCUUCUUAGCAUUUUAUGUUGAGGGGGUGAAGUUGGAGUUGGAGGAUAACUGCUGGCGCAACUCAGGUUGCUUGUUGGCUCCUCUUAAAUGGAUGAGCCUUUCUGAUGGAUCAUGGCUCGGUAACACUAAUGUGAUAAUUAUCUACGUUAGAUGUGAACGCCGUGAGCGGAGCGACUUUUUGAAGCUCCUACGGAAAAGGACGUCUUUUGACUUGUAACAAAAUCUGACCUCAAAUCAGGUAGGACUACCCGCUGAACUUAAGCAUAUCAAUAAGCGGAGGAAAAGAAACUAACAAGGAUUCCCCUAGUAACUGCGAGUGAAGCGGGAAAAGCUCAAAUUUAAAAUCUGGCAUGCCUUUGGCUGUCCGAGUUGUAGUCUGGAGAAGUGUUUUCCGUGCUGGACCGUG